rnacentral:lncRNA from 1 species
UAAAAUGUUUUAUUUCUGUGAUUUGAUUUUGAUUUUAUCUUUCCAGGAAAAGAGUAAGGAAUCUAUUUUAGUUUAUAAGUUUGGGGAAAUACAAUACCAACAUCAUCUGCUACUAACAUUACUCUAAGUUCGUCAUUGAAACCACCAACAGCAAGUUUGACCUUUAAUACUCCGCCAAAUCUUACUACACCUUUACCAACGAGUGAAUCAAACUCGAGUUUUCAACUUCAGAAACCUCCUAUCGGUAAUAAAAGAGGAAAACAUUAA